GACGAACGCUGGCGGCGUGCCUAAUACAUGCAAGUCGAACGCAGUGGGGACGGGUGAGUAACACGUGGGUAACCUCCCAUCAGAGGGGAUAACACUUGGAAACAGGGGCUAAACCGAUACUGAUGGAUGGACCCGCGGUGCAUUAGCUAGUUGGUGAGGUAUCGGCGCACCAAGGACACGAUGCAGAGCUGACCUGUAAGGGUGGUCGCAGACACAGUGACUGAGACACGGCCCAGACUCCUACGGGAGGCAGCAGUAGGGAAUCUUCGGCAAUGGACGAAAGUCUGACCGAGCAACGCCGCGUUAGUGAUGAAGGUUUUCGGAUCGUAAGACUCUGUUGUUAGAGAAGCGGUAUCUAACCAGAAACCCACGGCUAACUACGUGCCAGCAGCCGCGGUAAUUC
rnacentral:rRNA from 1 species